UGAGACCACUGCUCUAGAAAAAGCUCUGCUACCCCUGAAGUACUCCGACCUGAAUUCAUUUCCUGACACUUGUUCAUUUGACAGACGCAGGCCGCAACCAGAUCUGAGUGCCCCAGCCACCAAAGCUUGUUACCGAAACAGAAAGAAGAGGCAAGAGCCAAGCUGUAAAAUGGAGAACAAGGCAGGCUUUUGAAUAGGAAGAGAUCGUGAGGCCCCCCAGGCAGCUGCAAGGCUAACCUCCAAAGUCAAGAUCAGUUAAAAUGGUAUUUGAUUUUCUAGGUUGAAUGGGAAACUUCAACCAAAUAAAAACUAUCUUC
rnacentral:lncRNA from 1 species